rnacentral:rRNA from 1 species
GUCGAGAAUCUUUCACAAUGGGGGCAACCCUGAUGGAGCGACGCCGCGUGGAGGAUAAGGUCUUCGGAUUGUAAACUCCUGUCAUGCGUGAACAAGGUUGCUUGGAUAAUACCUGAGCAAAUUGAUGGUAGCGCAAGAGGAAGAGACGGCUAACUCUGUGCCAGCAGCCGCGGUAAUACAGAGGUCUCAAGCGUUGUUCGGAAUCACUGGGCGUAAAGGGUGCGUAGGUGGCGUGGCAAGUCAGAUGUGAAAGCCCGGGGCUCAACCUAGGAAAUGCAUCCGAUACUGCCAUGCUAGAGUACUGGAGGGGUGACUAGAAUUCUCGGUGUAGCAGUGAAAUGCGUAGAUAUCGAGAGGAAUACCAAAGGCGUAGGCAGGUCACUGGACAGUUACUGACACUGAGGCACGAAGGCCAGGGGAGCGAACGGGAUUAGAAACCCUUGUAGUCC